rnacentral:rRNA from 1 species
GUGACCCCAGGAUGGGCGAGGCC